rnacentral:rRNA from 1 species
GGUUAAGCGACUAAGCGUACACGGUGGAUGCCCUGGCAGUCAGAGGCGAUGAAGGACGUGCUAAUCUGCGAUAAGCGUCGGUAAGGUGAUAUGAACCGUUAUAACCGGCGAUUUCCGAAUGGGGAAACCCAGUGUGAUUCGUCACACUAUCAUUAACUGAAUCCAUAGGUUAAUGAGGCGAACCGGGGGAACUGAAACAUCUAAGUACCCCGAGGAAAAGAAAUCAACCGAGAUUCCCCCAGUAGCGGCGAGCGAACGGGGAGCAGCCCAGAGCCUGAAUCAGUGUGUGUGUUAGUGGAAGCGUCUGGAAAGGCGCGCGAUACAGGGUGACAGCCCCGUACACAAAAAUGCACAUGCUGUGAGCUCGAUGAGUAGGGCGGGACACGUGGUAUCCUGUCUGAAUAUGGGGGGACCAUCCUCCAAGGCUAAAUACUCCUGACUGACCGAUAGUGAACCAGUACCGUGAGGGAAAGGCGAAAAGAACCCCGGCGAGGGGAGUGAAAAAGAACCUGAAACCGUGUACGUACAAGCAGUGGGAGCACGCUUAGGCGUGUGACUGCGUACCUUUUGUAUAAUGGGUCAGCGACUUAUAUUCUGUAGCAAGGUUAACCGAAUAGGGGAGCCGAAGGGAAACCGAGUCUUAACUGGGCGUUAAGUUGCAGGGUAUAGACCCGAAACCCGGUGAUCUAGCCAUGGGCAGGUUGAAGGUUGGGUAACACUAACUGGAGGACCGAACCGACUAAUGUUGAAAAAUUAGCGGAUGACUUGUGGCUGGGGGUGAAAGGCCAAUCAAACCGGGAGAUAGCUGGUUCUCCCCGAAAGCUAUUUAGGUAGCGCCUCGUGAAUUCAUCUCCGGGGGUAGAGCACUGUUUCGGCAAGGGGGUCAUCCCGACUUACCAACCCGAUGCAAACUGCGAAUACCGGAGAAUGUUAUCACGGGAGACACACGGCGGGUGCUAACGUCCGUCGUGAAGAGGGAAACAACCCAGACCGCCAGCUAAGGUCCCAAAGUCAUGGUUAAGUGGGAAACGAUGUGGGAAGGCCCAGACAGCCAGGAUGUUGGCUUAGAAGCAGCCAUCAUUUAAAGAAAGCGUAAUAGCUCACUGGUCGAGUCGGCCUGCGCGGAAGAUGUAACGGGGCUAAACCAUGCACCGAAGCUGCGGCAGCGACGCUUAUGCGUUGUUGGGUAGGGGAGCGUUCUGUAAGCCUGUGAAGGUGUGCUGUGAGGCAUGCUGGAGGUAUCAGAAGUGCGAAUGCUGACAUAAGUAACGAUAAAGCGGGUGAAAAGCCCGCUCGCCGGAAGACCAAGGGUUCCUGUCCAACGUUAAUCGGGGCAGGGUGAGUCGACCCCUAAGGCGAGGCCGAAAGGCGUAGUCGAUGGGAAACAGGUUAAUAUUCCUGUACUUGGUGUUACUGCGAAGGGGGACGGAGAAGGCUAUGUUGGCCGGGCGACGGUUGUCCCGGUUUAAGCGUGUAGGCUGGUUUUCCAGGCAAAUCCGGAAAAUCAAGGCUGAGGCGUGAUGACGAGGCACUACGGUGCUGAAGCAACAAAUGCCCUGCUUCCAGGAAAAGCCUCUAAGCAUCAGGUAACAUCAAAUCGUACCCCAAACCGACACAGGUGGUCAGGUAGAGAAUACCAAGGCGCUUGAGAGAACUCGGGUGAAGGAACUAGGCAAAAUGGUGCCGUAACUUCGGGAGAAGGCACGCUGAUAUGUAGGUGAAGUCCCUCGCGGAUGGAGCUGAAAUCAGUCGAAGAUACCAGCUGGCUGCAACUGUUUAUUAAAAACACAGCACUGUGCAAACACGAAAGUGGACGUAUACGGUGUGACGCCUGCCCGGUGCCGGAAGGUUAAUUGAUGGGGUCAGCGCAAGCGAAGCUCUUGAUCGAAGCCCCGGUAAACGGCGGCCGUAACUAUAACGGUCCUAAGGUAGCGAAAUUCCUUGUCGGGUAAGUUCCGACCUGCACGAAUGGCGUAAUGAUGGCCAGGCUGUCUCCACCCGAGACUCAGUGAAAUUGAACUCGCUGUGAAGAUGCAGUGUACCCGCGGCAAGACGGAAAGACCCCGUGAACCUUUACUAUAGCUUGACACUGAACAUUGAGCCUUGAUGUGUAGGAUAGGUGGGAGGCUUAGAAGUGUGGACGCCAGUCUGCAUGGAGCCGACCUUGAAAUACCACCCUUUAAUGUUUGAUGUUCUAACGUUGACCCGUAAUCCGGGUUGCGGACAGUGUCUGGUGGGUAGUUUGACUGGGGCGGUCUCCUCCUAAAGAGUAACGGAGGAGCACGAAGGUUGGCUAAUCCUGGUCGGACAUCAGGAGGUUAGUGCAAUGGCAUAAGCCAGCUUGACUGCGAGCGUGACGGCGCGAGCAGGUGCGAAAGCAGGUCAUAGUGAUCCGGUGGUUCUGAAUGGAAGGGCCAUCGCUCAACGGAUAAAAGGUACUCCGGGGAUAACAGGCUGAUACCGCCCAAGAGUUCAUAUCGACGGCGGUGUUUGGCACCUCGAUGUCGGCUCAUCACAUCCUGGGGCUGAAGUAGGUCCCAAGGGUAUGGCUGUUCGCCAUUUAAAGUGGUACGCGAGCUGGGUUUAGAACGUCGUGAGACAGUUCGGUCCCUAUCUGCCGUGGGCGCUGGAGAACUGAGGGGGGCUGCUCCUAGUACGAGAGGACCGGAGUGGACGCAUCACUGGUGUUCGGGUUGUCAUGCCAAUGGCACUGCCCGGUAGCUAAAUGCGGAAGAGAUAAGUGCUGAAAGCAUCUAAGCACGAAACUUGCCCCGAGAUGAGUUCUCCCUGACUCCUUGAGAGUCCUGAAGGAACGUUGAAGACGACGACGUUGAUAGGCCGGGUGUGUAAGCGCAGCGAUGCGUUGAGCUAACCGGUACUAAUGAACCGUGAGGCUUAACCUU